rnacentral:rRNA from 1 species
GAUGAACGCUGGCGGCGUGCUUAACACAUGCAAGUCGAACGGAAAGGCUCAAGCUUGCUUGUGUACUCGAGUGGCGAACGGGUGAGUAACACGUGUGUGAUCUGCUCUGCACUUCGGGAGAAGCCUGGGAAACUGGGUCUAAUACCGUAUAGGACCACAUUUUGGAUUGUGUGGUGGAAAGUUUUACGGUGUGGGAUGAGCUCGCGGCCUAUCAGCGUUUUGGUGGGGAAAUGGCCUACCAAGGCGUCGACGGGUAGCCGGCCUGCGAGGGUGUACGGACGCAUUGGGACUGAGAGACGGCCCAGACUCCGACGGGAGGCAGAAGUGGGGAAUAUUGGACAAUGGGCGAAAGCCUGAUGGAGCGACGCCGCGUGGGGGAUGACGGCCUUCGGGUUGUAAAAUCAUUUCGCGAGGGACGAAGCGUUUUUGUGACGGUACCUGGAGAAGAAGCACCGGCUAACUACGUG